GACGAACGCUGGCGGCGUGCUUAACACAUGCAAGUCGAGCGGUAAGGCCCUUUCGGGGGUACACGAGCGGCGAACGGGUGAGUAACACGUGGGUGACCUGCCCUCAGCUCUGGGAUAAGCCUGGGAAACCGGGUCUAAUACCGGAUAUGACUCCAUGACGCAUGUUGUGGGGUGGAAAGCCUUGUGCGGCUGAGGAUGGGCCCGCGGCCUAUCAGCUUGUUGGUGGGGUGAUGGCCUACCAAGGCGACGACGGGUAGCCGGCCUGAGAGGGCGACCGGCCACACUGGGACUGAGACACGGCCCAGACUCCUACGGGAGGCAGCAGUGGGGAAUCUUGCGCAAUGGGCGAAAGCCUGACGCAGCGACGCCGCGUGAAGGAUGAAAUCCCU
rnacentral:rRNA from 1 species